CACUCUGCAACUCGAGUGCAUGAAGUUGGAAUCGCUAGUAAUCGCAGAUCAGCAUGCUGCGGUGAAUACGUUCCCGGGCCUUGUACACACCGCCCGUCACACCAUGGGAGUUGGUUCUACCCGAAGGUAGUGCGCUAACCGCAAGGAGGCAGCUAACCACGGUAGGGUCAGCGACUGGGGUGAAGUCGUAACAAGGUAGCCGUAGGGGAACCUGCGGCUGGAUCACCUCCUUUCUAAGG
rnacentral:rRNA from 1 species